rnacentral:rRNA from 1 species
AGCGAACGCUGGCGGCAGGCCUAACACAUGCAAGUCGAACGGAUCCUUCGGGAUUAGUGGCGGACGGGUGAGUAACACGUGGGAACGUGCCCUUUGGUUCGGAACAACUCAGGGAAACUUGAGCUAAUACCGGAUAAGCCCUUCGGGGGGAAAGAUUUAUCGCCAUUGGAGCGGCCCGCGUAGGAUUAGCUAGUUGGUGG